rnacentral:sRNA from 1 species
AACCCUCGGAUUGUCCGAGGGUCCCAAUAAGCUUUAGCGGAGUGAUAAUGGAAAUAAAAACCCUCCAUUGUAUAAUUAAAAUGCGGUCUGCCAACUGCAAAUAAGAAUACAAGGG